rnacentral:rRNA from 1 species
AUGAACGCUGGCGGCGUGCCUAAUACAUGCAAGUCGAGCGAACAGACGAGGAGCUUGCUCCUCUGACGUUAGCGGCGGACGGGUGAGUAACACGUGGAUAACCUACCUAUAAGACUGGGAUAACUUCGGGAAACCGGAGCUAAUACCGGAUAAUAUAUUGAACCGCAUGGUUCAAUAGUGAAAGACGGUUUUGCUGUCAAUUAUAGAUGGAUCCGCGCCGCAUUAGCUAGUUGGUAAGGUAACGGCUUACCAAGGCGACGAUGCGUAGCCGACCUGAGAGGGUGAUCGGCCACACUGGAACUGAGACACGGUCCAGACUCCUACGGGAGGCAGCAGUAGGGAAUCUUCCGCAAUGGGCGAAAGCCUGACGGAGCAACGCCGCGUGAGUGAUGAAGGUCUUCGGAUCGUAAAACUCUGUUAUUAGGGAAGAACAAAUGUGUAAGUAACUAUGCACGUCUUGACGGUACCCAAUCAGAAAGCCACGGCUAACUACGUG